GACGAACGCUGGCGGCGUGCUUAACACAUGCAAGUCGAACGGAAAGGCCUGCAGCUUGCUGCGGGUGCUCGAGUGGCGAACGGGUGAGUAACACGUGGGUGAUCUGCCUUGCACUUCGGGAUAAGCUUGGGAAACUGGGUCUAAUACCGGAUAGGACAGCUGUUUAGUGUCAGUUGUGGAGAGUUUUUUCGGUGCAAGAUGAGCUCGCGGCCUAUCAGCUUGUUGGUGGGGUAAUGGCCUACCAAGGCGGCGACGGGUAGCCGGCCUGAGAGGGUGGACGGCCACAUUGGGACUGAGACACGGCCCAGACUCCUACGGGAGGCAGCAGUGGGGAAUAUUGCACAAUGGGCGGAAGCCUGAUGCAGCGACGCCGCGUGGGGGAUGACGGCCUUCGGGUUGUAAACUCCUUUCACCAUCGACGAAGGGUUUCUGACGGUAGAUGGAGAAGAAGCACCGGCUAACUACGUGCCAGCAGCCGCGGUAAUACGUAGGGUGCGAGCGUUGUCCGGAAUUACUGGGCGUAAAGAGCUCGUAGGUGGUCUGUCGCGUCGUCUGUGAAAUUCCGGGGCUUAACUCCGGGCGUGCAGGCGAUACGGGCAUAACUUGAGUACUGUAGGGGAGACUGGAAUUCCUGGUGUAGCGGUGAAAUGCGCAGAUAUCAGGAGGAACACCGGUGGCGAAGGUGGGUCUCUGGGCAGUAACUGACGCUGAGGAGCGAAAGCAUGGGGAGCGAACAGGAUUAGAUACCCUGGUAGUCCAUGCCGUAAACGGUGGGCGCUAGGUGUGGGUUUCCUUCCACGGGAUCCGUGCCGUAGCUAACGCAUUAAGCGCCCCGCCUGGGGAGUACGGCCGCAAGGCUAAAACUCAAAGGAAUUGACGGGGGCCCGCACAAGCGGCGGAGCAUGUGGAUUAAUUCGAUGCAACGCGAAGAACCUUACCUGGGCUUGACAUAUACAGGAUCGCGCCAGAGAUGGUGUUUCCCUUGUGGCUUGUAUACAGGUGGUGCAUGGUUGUCGUCAGCUCGUGUCGUGAGAUGUUGGGUUAAGUCCCGCAACGAGCGCAACCCUUGUCUUAUGUUGCCAGCACGUUGUGGUGGGGACUCGUAAGAAACUGCCGGGGUUAACUCGGAGGAAGGUGGGGAUGACGUCAAAUCAUCAUGCCCCUUAUGUCCAGGGCUUCACACAUGCUACAAUGGUCGGUACAGUGGGUUGCCAGUCCGUGAGGGCGAGCUAAUCCCGCAAAGCCGGUCUCAGUUCGGAUCGGGGUCUGCAACUCGACCCCGUGAAGUCGGAGUCGCUAGUAAUCGCAGAUCAGCAACGCUGCGGUGAAUACGUUCCCGGGCC
rnacentral:rRNA from 1 species